rnacentral:lncRNA from 1 species
CUUCCUUCAGUGACUACAAUAAGAAAAGUAACAAGAAUUCAUCUUCAACCAAAAUGGAAUAGAGAACGGCACUAUGUGAAAUUCAUCUAAUAAAGGCUUGACUUUGGUUGAACUUACAUCUGGCUGUAAAAGAACACAGGAAACAAAAUGUGUCAUCAGUUUCCCACUGCUUGUUGGCAUCGUGAUUAAAUGUUGGCAUCAUGGCA